GAUCCCGGUCCUAUAACCCAUGCCGCAACCCCUGAUCCCAGUCCCAACGCGAAUGCCGCUCCCGGUGCCGGUGCCGGUGCCGUUGCCGGAGCCGGUGCAGG